rnacentral:tRNA from 1 species
GGGCUCUUAGCUCAGUUGGUUAGAGCGCAUCCCUGAUAAGGAUGAGGCCUCUGGUUCGAAUCCAGAAGGGCCCA